AACAACUCACCUGCCGAAUGAACUAGCCCUGAAAAUGGAUGUCGCUUAAGCGGAGUGCCGACACUCGACCGUUUUGAUAAAAAUUGACCAAAAUGAGUAGGAGGGCGUGGUGAUUUUGUUCAGAAGGGUGGAACGCAAGUUCGCCUGGAACGGUCACUAGUGCAGAUCUUGGUGGUAGUAGCAAAUAUUUAAGCGAGAUCCUUAAAGGACGAAGCGGGGAAGGGUUCCAUGCGAACAUUGAUUGGGCAUGGGUGAGUCGUUCCUAAGCCGGGUGGUAAUCGUUCUUCGAUCGGCGAAAGGGAAGUUGGUUAAAAUUCCAACACACGGAUGUGAAGGCGGCAACGCAAAUUGAGGUGGAGACACUAGCGGUGACUCUGGGCAGAGUUUUCUUUUCUGUUUAACCUGUGCUGCACUCUGUGGAAUCCGAUUAUCGGGAGAAACAGGUGCCUAACGGGAAGAGCGUCGGGGGGUCCCCGGCGUCCAGAACGUCACCGAGAGUCCUUGAAAAUCCAUCUGCAAUCUAAUUUCACGCCGUGGCGUACCGAUAACCGCAGCAGGUCCCCAAGGUGAACAGCCUCUGUCUAAUAUGAACAAU
rnacentral:rRNA from 1 species